AAUAGAUGAGGGUGAAAAUAUUUGUUGUUUGGUGAAGAGACAAUCAAUCAUCCAUUCUCUGCAGAAUCUGGUCAAUAUGGCAGGUCACUCAAUGAUCCUUAAAGUGGGCAAUCCUUGAAACGGGCUGCGCGCUCGGGACGUUCCUGUCCCUUCGAUGGCCCCUGUUCCUCUCCGUCCUGCCGAAGUACAGACAUAACCGUUUAAAU